CCUACGGGGGGCAGCAGUGGGGAAUAUUGGACAAUGGGGGGAACCCUGAUCCAGCCAUGCCGCGUGUGUGAAGAAGGCCCUCGGGUUGUAAAGCACUUUCAGUGAGGAAGAACGCCUGGUGGUUAAUACCCAUCAGGAAAGACAUCACUCACAGAAGAAGCACCGGCUAACUCCGUGCCAGCAGCCGCGGUAAUACGGAGGGUGCGAGCGUUAAUCGGAAUUACUGGGCGUAAAGCGCGCGUAGGUGGCUUGAUAAGCCGGUUGUGAAAGCCCCGGGCGCAACCUGGGAACGGCAUCCGGAACUGUCAAGCUAGAGUGAAGGAGAGGAAGGUAGAAUUCACGGUGUAGCGGUGAAAUGCGUAGAGAUCGGGAGGAAUACCAGUGGCGAAGGCGGCCUUCUGGACUGACACUGACACUGAGGUGCGAAAGCGUGGGUAGCAAACAGGAUUAGAUACCCUUGUAGUA
rnacentral:rRNA from 1 species